rnacentral:rRNA from 1 species
AGGCCUAACACAUGCAAGUCGAGCGGACGUAGCAAUACGUCAGCGGCAGACGGGAGAGUAACACGUGGGAACGUACCCUUUGGUUCGGAACAACCCAGGGAAACUUGGGCUAAUACCGGAUAAGCCCUCACGGGGAAAGAUUUAUCGCCGAAGGAUCGGCCCGCGUCUGAUUAGCUAGUUGGUGGGGUAAUGGCCCACCAAGGCGACGAUCAGUAGCUGGUCUGAGAGGAUGAUCAGCCUCACUGGGACUGAGACACGGCCCAG